GAUGAACGCUGGCGGCGUGCCUAAUACAUGCAAGUCGAGCGAACAGACGAGGAGCUUGCUCCUCUGACGUUAGCGGCGGACGGGUGAGUAACACGUGGAUAACCUACCUAUAAUUCUGGGAUAACUUCGGGAAACCGGAUCUAAUACCGCAUAAUAUAUUGAACCGCAUGGUUCAAUAGUGAAAGACGGUUUUGCUGUCACUUAUAGAUGGAUCCGCGCCGCAUUAGCUAGUUGGUAAGGUAACGGCUUACCAAGGCAACGAUGCGUAGCCGACCUGAGAGGGUGAUCGGCCACACUGGAACUGAGACACGGUCCAGACUCCUACGGGAGGCAGCAGUAGGGAAUCUUCCGCAAAGGGCGAAAGCCUGACGGAGCAAUGCCGCGUGAGUGAUGAAGGUCUUCGGAUCGUAAAACUCUUUUAUUAGGGAAGAACAAAUGUGUAAGUAACUAUGCACGUUUUGACGGUACCUAAUCAGAAAGCCACGGCUAACUACGUG
rnacentral:rRNA from 1 species